UUGWCCUGCCAGUAGUCAUAUGCUUCGUUCAAGGAUUAAGCCAUGCAUGUCUCAGCGCAAACGGAACAAGAGUUGGUCUGUGAAUGGCUCCUUACAUCAGCAGUCAUCUAUGUGAUAGAGUGUGCUUGGCCAAGCUGCAUGGCCCAAUGGACAUCCACAAUAACCUUGUGGCUAAUACACGCAAGCAGAUGUCUGCCACAUCAUGUGGGGUUAGCUCUGCUGGCCUCACAGUGGUGGACUGCACACAGCUCCUGAAAGACCAGUGUCAUUCCAAUGACAGUGUUGACUUGGUGAAUCAGGCUGUUCCAAAGGGACAUAGCACUGGCAGCUAAGAAGCCUGUUUACAGGCAUGCUUGAUCACAUGAACUUCUGACCUAUCAGCUUUGACUGUGGUGCAGUGGACCACAGUGGCCUUGACGGGUAACGGAGAAUCAGGGUUCGAUUCCGGAGAGGGAGCCUGAGAGACGGCUACCACUACCAAGGUGGGCAGCAGGCGCGCAAAUUGCCCAAUACAAAACCAGUUUGUGAGGCAGCAACGAACUGCAGCAAUCAUGCCCACUCUAGUGGGUUUGACUUGGAAUGGAUGCUAUCCAAACACAGCCAUGAGCAACAGUGGAGGAUAAUUCCAGCUCCACWGGCGUAUACUAACAUUGCUGCUGUUAAAACACUGGUAGUCKGCCACAGGGAUUCAGGUCUGGCAGAUGGCUGGCUGGUGGYGACUUGUCRCUGCUGGCUGGGUAAAACCUCUGUCAGUAUGUUCCUGAUCCCACUCCUGGAUGCUGAAAUGCUCCUGCAUGAAGCCCUCUUCAGUGAGGGUCAAAGCUAUCUUGCAGCCAACGCAUGUCUGGGCAAUCAAGGGCAGGCCUUGUGCCUUUGCUACCACAGCCUUGGCCCAUAUUCGGAGUUCAGCAUCAGAGCAACCCUGGUAAACUCAGUGUGCUUCAAGCAACCUUCAAUGGCUUGCAUGCCAUCCAGUGAAUUGCAAAGCAUCGAUCGAGCUUGGCUGAGAGUUGUGCUGGCCUUGGUGCCAACUUCGAGCAAUGUGGGAUGCAUCCCUGGCUGGGUGCUUGCCUUCGGGCUUGCGUCCCUGUCCAGGUGGUGUGUCACCAAACGGACAUGAUGGAAGUGUUCAGAGUGGAAGGUAUUGCAACGCCAGAGGUGAAAUUCUUAGACCGCUGCAAGACCAACUGCAGCGAAGGCGUUCUGCAAGAGCMCGUUCGUCGAUCAAGAAUGAGAGUGUGGGRGCAAAGAUGAUUAGACMCCGUCGUAGUCCACUACAGUAAACUAUGCCAGCAAGGCUUUGGKGAAGCAAGARBGGGAAUGUUACCAGGUCAGGACACUGUCAGGAUGGACAGAUUGAGAGCUCUUUCUUGAUCCAGUGGAUGGUGGUGCAUGGCCGCUCCUGAUCGGUGGAGUGAUUUGUCUGGUUGAUUCCGAUAACGGGUGAGAUAUCUGCCUUCCAAUAGCCCCAGUCACGCAUCUGUAGGGAUGCCUUCAGGUGAAGCUUCUGUGGAUCCUGUUGGUGCCUGAGUGACAUGGGUUCAGCUUCUCUGAGGUGCUGUGUCAGCCACCAAUGGCACGCAUGCUAGAGCCAACAGCAGGUCUGUGAUGCUCCCAGAUGUCCUGGGCCGCACGCGCAUUACAUUGACACAGUGAAGGUGUUAAGCUUCCUUGUGAAGCCCAUCUCAGAAGUGAGUUGGAAACCAUCCAAAUCUGUGCUGUACUGGGGAUAGAUGAUUGCAACUAUCUGCCUUGAACGAGGAAUGCCUAGUAUGCUUGUGUCAUCAGCACAAACAGAUUGUGUCCCUGCCAUUUGUACACACCGCCCGUCGUUGCUACCGAUGAGGGCAGGGCAGAGUCAUCAGGAGAUAGCAACUCCCCCGUUGGACUGCCAUUGAAAUUGGGCAAUGCCCUGCCCUUAGAGGAAGCAAAAGUCGUAACAAGGUUGUUGUAGGUGAYGMG
rnacentral:rRNA from 1 species